rnacentral:rRNA from 1 species
UACGUAGGGGGCAAGCGUUGUCCGGAUUUAUUGGGCGUAAAGAGCGUGUAGGCGGUUUGGUAGGUCCGCUGUGAAAACUCGAGGCUCAACCUCGAGACGCCGGUGGAAACCAUCAGACUAGAGUCCGGAAGAGGAGAGUGGAAUUCCUGGUGUAGCGGUGAAAUGCGCAGAUAUCAGGAAGAACACCCGUGGCUAAGGCGGCUCUCUAGUACGGUACUGACGCUGAGGAGCGAAAGCGUGGGGAGCAAACAGG